UGUAGAGAGAAGAGAGAUCAUAUGAUUGGCCCACUUGCGUGUCUUUCAUGGGAACACUGGCCAUUCACAUCCUUGGUCUUUGGAUGACCGGCCCACAGACAGGAGAACGAACACAUAAUUGGCUCACUGUUUGUCUCUCAUCUAUGUACUGGCCAAUCACAUCCUACUACAGCCUACCGUACCAUCCUACCAUAGAGAUAGAGCGCAUUUAAGUCCCGCCCCCACAGGCGGGGAAAACAAUUCGUCACUAAAGCCUGUAGCUAGCUAAAAAAACGAGAUUUAAGCAUGUCAAAUGAUUGUUUUAGUAACCCAUGUCUACAUGUGAUGACAAAUUAGCUGUAACUAAGCUAGUGUUAGUUAUGUAUUAGCAAGCUAAGGCAAUUGCAAACAUAUAUUUCUCCACAUUCCACUAUAACUCAAGUUGCAGGUACUGUAUACAACAUGCCUUUAGCUUAAUUUAUGGACUUGUUGUGACCUGUUUACUGUUGAAGACAUCAUGCCAUGCACCCAGGCUCCAACCUCAACCUUCAGCCGCCUUGCCAACAUGAACCAGGCUGUCUUUUUGACUCAGACUGACGGACAGCUAUCGGAUCAACACAGUAUACCACUCUGUCUGGGCUUACUUCAUCCACCCACUGUAGGCCUAUGAUGACUGCCAUCAUUUUGGCUGUAUAAACUGACAGCUGAUCAGAUCUCACUGACUCCUUGGGCCCAUGAAGAGGCUGGGUGGCCCCUCAUUAAGCACAGUCUGGAUUACAGCUCCUGGCCAAGGCUAUUUCCAACAACAUGCUAGUGCAUUGUAAUGAUCCUCUUUGUGUGCUGCGCAAACACACUCAAUCUCCCACUUUAAUCACCGAGGAGGAGAUGGGCUACUCCUCCAGCCCUCAACAGGAGCAGUGAGAGGAAAGUGGGAUUUGCAAGUUCCUCCAUCCUUUGAUGACAUAUAAUCUCCUUGUGAGAUAAGUGUUCUGUCACAAAGCUCUGAUUGACGGGAUGGAGGGAGUUAGGAGCAAAAGCUAGGAGAAAGGCUGAAAUGAUUCACGGGGGUGGUGAUCCUUUGGCUGUCUGGUCAUUCUGUCUGCCGUGUAGCUGCAGAUCAUCAGUAUGUCAAACAGCUUAGAGGGAGAUUCAGGACAUUGUGGGCAGUUCAUAUGGUGUGUCGUCUUCUGCACCUACG